rnacentral:rRNA from 1 species
AGAGUUUGAUCCUGGCUCAGGACGAACGCUGGCGGCGUGCUUUAGGCAUGCAAGUGGAACGAGUCCGACUUGUCGGACGAGUCGCGAACGGCUGAGUAACACGUAGGAAUCUACCCCUUGGUGGAGAAUACCCACUUGAAAGAGUGGUUAAUACUGCAUAAGAUCUUCGGAUGAAAGGGCAUAACUGCUCGCCGAGGGAGGAGCCUGCGGCCUAUCAGCUUGUUGGUGGGGUAACGGCCUACCAAGGCUACGACGGGUAGGGGGCGUGAGAGCGUGAUCCCCCAGAAUGGCACUGAGACACGGGCCAUACACCUACGGGUGGCAGCAACCGGGAAUUGUGCGCAAUGGGCGAAAGCCUGACGCCGCGACGCCGCGUGAGGGAUGAAGGCCUGAGGGUCGUAAACCUCUUUUACUGAGAUCGAGAGAUCUCAGAGAAUAAGCACCCGCUAACUACGUGCCAGCAGCUGCGGUAAUACGUAGGGUGCAAGCGUUGUCCGGAUUUAUUGGGCGUAAAGGGUUUUGUAGGCGGCUUAGUAAGUUAUUUUUCAAAGACCAGGGCUCAACCUUGGAAAGGGGAAUAAUACUGCUAGGCUUGAAAGGUUUCGGGGCUACUGGAACUUAUCAUGUAAGGGUGAAAUCCGUUGAUAUG